rfam:Beggiatoa sp. PS contig23893, whole genome shotgun sequence.
GUGUAGCCCUGGCCGUAAGGGCCAUGAUGACUUGACAUCAUCCUCUUUACCUUGACAUUACCAACAGAAGAAGCACCGGCUAACUCUGUGCCAGCAGCCGCGGUAAUACAGAGGGUGCAAGCGUUAAUCGGAAUUAUUGGGCGUAAAGGGUGCGUAGGCGGCGAAGUUAGUCAGAUGUGAAAGCCCAAGGCUUAACCUUGGAAUUGCAUUUGAUACUGCUAAGCUAGAGUAUAUGUAGAGGAAAGCGGAAUUCCUAGUGUAGCGGUGAAAUGCGUAGAUAUUAGGAAGAACACUGGUGGCGAAGGCGGCUUUCUGGACUAAUACUGACGUUGAGGCACGAAAGCGUGGGGAGCAAACAGGAUUAGAUACCCUGGUAGUCCACGCCCUAAACGAUGAGAAUUAGAUGUUGGGGGAAUUUAAUCCUUUAGUAUCAUAGCUAACGCACUAAAUUCUCCGCCUGGGGAGUACGACCGCAAGGUUAAAACUCAAAUGAAUUGACGGGGGCCCGCACAAGCGGUGGAGCAUGUGGUUUAAUUCGAUGCAACGCGAAGAACCUUACCUGGCCUUGACAUCCUCGGAAUUCCUCAG